AUGAACGCUGGCGGCGUGCCUAAUACAUGCAAGUCGAGCGAACAGACGAGGAGCUUGCUCCUUUGACGUUAGCGGCGGACGGGUGAGUAACACGUGGAUAACCUACCUAUAAGACUGGGAUAACUUCGGGAAACCGGAGCUAAUACCGGAUAACAUGUUGAACCGCAUGGUUUAACAGUGAAAGACGGUCUUGCUGUCACUUAUAGAUGGAUCCGCGCCGCAUUAGCUAGUUGGUAAGGUAACGGCUUACCAAGGCAACGAUGCGUAGCCGACCUGAGAGGGUGAUCGGCCACACUGGAACUGAGACACGGUCCAGACUCCUACGGGAGGCAGCAGUAGGGAAUCUUCCGCAAUGGGCGAAAGCCUGACGGAGCAACGCCGCGUGAGUGAAGAAGGUCUUCGGAUCGUAAAACUCUGUUAUUAGGGAAGAACAAAUGUGUAAGUAACUAUGCACGUCUUGACGGUACCUAAUCAGAAAGCCACGGCUAACUACGUG
rnacentral:rRNA from 1 species